CAUAAGCAGGCGGGGGCUUGGCCGCGUCUCCAGCGUCACCGAGAUGUGCGACCCCGUCAGGUCCAGCUGCAGCACGAAGCAGUGGUGCAUUCUGAGCUCCAGGCGCGCCCCCUCCGGGCCGUC
rnacentral:SRP_RNA from 1 species